GUGAAUCAUCAAAUCUUUGAACGCAAAUUGCACUCUCUGGUAUGCCUGAGAGUAUGCCUGGUUGAGGGUCAGUUUAAAUAAAAAUCGGGGUGGUUGCUGCCUUUCGUGGUGACGCACCGGAUUUGGGUCGUCUUGCCUUCGGUUAAGUGACCUAAAAUUUUGCAUUAUGUUUUCGAACGUAUUUAAAUGAUUUUACGUACGUUUGCGAUAGCGAAUACUAGUUGUUUUCAUCCUCAUGAUUCA
rnacentral:misc_RNA from 1 species